rnacentral:rRNA from 1 species
CACGUAGGGGACGAGCGUUGUCCGGAUUCAUUGGGCGUAAAGGGCGCGUAGGUGGUUCUGUAUGUCUACCGUGAAAGCGUACGGCUCAACCGUAUUUUGUCGGUAGAAACUGCAGGACUUGAGUCCGGAAGGGGCGAGUGGAAUUCCUGGUGUAGCGGUGAAAUGCGUAGAUAUCAAGUGGAACACCAGUGGCGAAGGCGAGUCCCUGGACAAUACCUGACACUGAGGCACGAAAGCUAGGGGAGCAAACAGG